GACCUCAAAUCAGACAAGGAUA
rnacentral:rRNA from 1 species